GGCUGGGUAGCUCAGUUGGCAGAGCAGUGGACUGAAAAUCCACAUGUCGGCGGUUCGAUUCCGCCCCCAGCCA
rnacentral:tRNA from 1 species